rnacentral:rRNA from 1 species
AGCAGUCGCCGCGGGAAUACGUAGGUGGCAAGCGUUGUCCGGAAUUAUUGGGCGUAAAGGGCUCGCAGGCGGUUUCUUAAGUCUGAUGUGAAAGCCCCCGGCUCAACCGGGGAGGGUCAUUGGAAACUGGGAAACUUGAGUGCAGAAGAGGAGAAUGGAAUUCCACGUGUAGCGGUGAAAUGCGUAGAGAUGUGGAGGAACACCAGUGGCGAAGGCGACUCUCUGGUCUGUAACUGACGCUGAGGAGCGAAAGCGUGGGGAGCGAACAGGAUUAGAUACCCCCGUAGUCCCUGUCUCUUAUAC